UCUGCCCAUUAUCAAAGGAAACUGUAGGCAGGUGUUCAAAUCCUGUGUUUCAGCUGGGUGUGUGUGUGUGAGUAUUCACAUGUCCUACCACACACAGUCUCAGAAACCUUGCUUUUUGCAGGUAGUUGGAGGGACAAAAUAACCAAUUUUAGAGCCUUACAGUCAUAUGUUUCUAUAAGAGCAUUUAGAUGAACAGUUUAGCUUUCAAAAUGAAGCAGAUGAUGACAGGGUGAAAUUAUUUUGAGAUUUCUAAUGCAGCUGCCCAUCAAACUUUACCUUUGUUGGUGGACCAAUCAGUUUCAGAAAGAACCAACUUCCGCCCUUCCUCUCUCUUCUUCCCCUCCCUCCCUUCUUUCUUUCCAGUCUUCCUUUCUUCCUUCCCUUGGUCUUGACCUAACUUCUUUUAUCUCUCUGUGUUUUUUUUUCAAAAUUAGCUUUAUUUCAGAAAGGGUACAAGUUGGUGAGGGUAUUGACACUUUUCCCAUUGUAAGUUAUAUUGGAAAUUGUAAAGAAUGCAAUAUUUUAUCUUGGUCAUUUUUAUUUACCCCUAGCGCUUAAACAGUGCCUCACACAGUACAUCCCCAAGAAAUGUGGCUGAAUGGGGAAAGCAUGAAGAAGCUGAUCUGUUCAUGCGGUAGAAAGGGACAAAUUCAGGUUAGCUAUACAAGUAAUAUGAAUAAAUAAAUUGACAACAAUACGUACUAAGUAUAUAUGGAAUUAUUUUUAAUCUUUGAAAAAAGUGUAUAAUUCUGUUUUUAAGUUUAUUGAAAUCAUUCGCAUUUACUUGACAAUCCAUGCUCUGACCAGUUGAAAGAUGGGCCACAACAAUUUCUUGAAGUUAAAAAAUACUCUGAAUGAAUCUAUCUAUGGGAGUGUAUUCCCUAUGUGAAUCAUUUCUGUAGUGGGAGAGGAAAGAAAAUAAGGUGACAACAACUAGUACAUAAAUGCCCUUAAUGACCUUUCCUUAUGAGUAAAUAAUUCAUGUACAAGUAUAGGGGCACUCUCUAUAUAGUGUUUGAAAAUGAUGUCCUUUUAAAUUAAGGUAACAUGUCUCCCUUAUAAUCACAUCCUUUCCGGUUAUUGAUGAGCAGGUUCUUUCCUCCAAAAGAACAUCAAGAGAAAUUGAACCCUGUUCCUGUCUCGCGUAAGUGAUCACAGAUUCCACAUGAAAGAGGGAGAGACCAAGUAUCUGUGUAUCCACAGAGCCUUUCGUAUUGGUGAUGCCUGUGCAUUUGGCCAGUAGCUCAGUCUGUCACCAUGAUCUCCUCUGACUCCCUGAAAUACAGUCAUUUCCUGAGGGCAAGGGCAAUAGUUGUCUGAGAACUGGCACACAUCAGUCUGAGUUCCUUCUUUAGCUAUCCGAAAGUGACUGAAAUUUCUUUAAAAAGUCCAUUAUUUUACUCACUUUCCUUCCCACCAGGAAGGGAGAAACAUAAAGGACAAGUGUGGUAUUUUUAAUUCUCGAAGGUAUAAAAAUGGCUGUAAGAGCUAGUAAUUACCAAUCACUUACUAGGAGUUGUAAAUUAUCAGGUAAUGUAUUUUUUGAAACAUAGCAAGCACUUAUCAAGUACCUAUUAUAUACCAGCUGUGGUUCUUUAAGCUUUGCAAUCGUUAUAUCAUUUUAUCAUCAAAACCAACCCUGUUCCUGCCGUCGGACAUUGAGGCACAGAACGGUUAAGGAACUUGGUAGUUAGCAUGGAAGUUAGACUUUUGACAGUUUAGGUCUGUAGGCUGUUCUGUAGGCCCAAGGCAAUGACUGCUUCCUUACAUCCAGUCCUAAAGUUGUGCUGUGCUUGCUGAGUGGUUACUUUAAUAACUGGGAUGACCGAUCCUCUUCAGCCGAGUAUUGAACAAACAUGUUCACCUGCCCAGCAUCGCUGCGCAAAAUGUGGCCUUGCUUUCAGGCCAUUCCUCUCCUUCCAUCUCACCUCAGCAGCGCCUGAUGCAUUUUAAAGGUCCAUUGGACUGCAAAUGCCAGGCAGCUAGGGAAUGAGAGUCUUCCUAAUCCACCACUGCAAUGGCUUUGCCAUUCUGCACAGUAUCUUUCAUAGUUGGUCCUGCUUACUCACUCGUUUGGCCAUGUUUUUGCUAUUUUCCUCAGGACAAAACGUGAUGCCCCAAGCUUGGGCACCAAGGUAACUGAUCUUGUGGUUGACGUUCACUUAUCCAGUGACCGAGCCCAGAAAGUAGGAGCAGCCAGUCCACAGGAGUUUCUGGACUUACCUACAAGUUGUGGUGAUUCCAGUCUUCUUGACCAAACCUACUGCAUUCUUGAUUUCCCAUUUUGUGAUGGCAUGUGUCACAUUGGCCUAUUUCUUCUCUUGCUUUUGAGUUUGGUCACAGCUACUUCAUCUUAUCAAAAGUGUUCCUGGUUUAAAUGACCAAAAGGUAGGUCCGCUUUCAGUUCCAUUCCUCCAAGGAGACUCAUGGUGUUCUUUUUAAUUUAUGUACUUGCCGUACAGACAAGUGAUUCUCACUGUACUCUUUACGGAUGGUUUACCUUCUCUUCAGAGGCCUUUAUACCAAGGGUAGAAGUGGCCUUUUGCUAAGUCAUGUGCAUCUCAACUUUGUGGCCUUUUGGGGAUUAUUCAGUUAUGUCUGCCUCCUCAACUAGGCUGAAGCUAGUGUGCCCAGUGUCCAUCAGUAUCUGGUAUAAAAUAGGUAACUAAAAAUUUGUGGAAUGAAAGAAUAAGGGAAGAGAUGGAGGGAACGGAAAGGAAAAGAUGAACUCAUACUUGCAUGGUCCUAGGGUGCUAGUUACAGUCUUUGCCAGGAGAGAAUGAAUCAACAAGGCUGACAACUCUCCUAACCCUCGCAUACCUUGCUUACCUCUCCUAACCCUCUCAUGGUGGUUACUAUGAGAAGGCACUUCCAUGGGAAAGUUAAUCCCAAGUGAUGCCUGUUCUAAUAAUAAUAAUGAUAACAAUAGCAACUACACUUUGUGAGGCAUUAUUUUAUUCCCGGUCAGCAAAAAGCUAAAACUCCACAAGGAUUUAGUAAACAUCUGAAGCUUAUGUGACCAAAAAAUAAUGUCUUUUUUUCUCUAUAUACUUGUUCUUCUGCAGUCCACCCAAAUGCAGUAAAGGGUCCCAUCAGCUACUUAGUUGUUCCAAAAAGAAUGUGAGCGUUAACCUUAAUUUCCCUUUUUUCUAACUUCCCACAAUCCAAACCAUUAGUUAGUGCUCAGAGUUGACCUCAGAAACACAAAGUAGAAGCAUGCUUAAAGUUUUUCUGAUGGCUUCUACCGCACUUGAAAUUGAAGCCAAGCUCUUGACAAAUGCCUACAAAGCCCUCAGUGAUCAGGCCCUUGGCUGCCCUUCUGCUCUCCUUUCCCAGGCCACUCUUCCCUUUUCACUUGCUCCAAACUUGCUGGGCUUCCUGCUGUUCCUAAAGCAAGUCAGUGUUAUCAUUGCCUAGGGGCUUCACACUAGCCAUUGCCCUUAUUGUCCUUCCUGUCACUCAGCUCUCAGAUUAAAGGUCUCCUUUCAGUGAACCCUCCUUCACGUUUCUAAUCAGUGUGAGCAAACUAGUCAUGCUCUAUCACAUAAUUCUAAUUCUCUGUAAAGCAUAUAUCAUUAUUGGAUUUUUGGACAUUGUUUAUGUAUUAACUUAUUUAUUGUCAGUCUAUUGAUGAUAGAUUCUAAUUUCCAUUGAAGAAAGCAUCCCAUGUCUUUUAUUUAUUGCUGUGUCUGCAUGUUCUAAAACAGUGGCAGGGGAAGAGUAGAUACUCAAAAAAUUAACCAAUAAACACAACGUAAAAGAAAAUCUCUACUGACUGAACUUAAGGAAUGCCAAGAAAAUCCUUGCACCUAAAACUGAAAACAGAAGUCCCAAUUUCAAAAGGCCAUAGAAAUGUGCUAUAGAAAAAUCUCCAAAGAUAGCCGCCUUGAAUUCCUUCCCUUCCUGGAUGCCUUUCUUUCUAUCAGAAUGUAUUGCCCUUUUCCCUCAGUUCAUGCUGGCGCCAUCGUUUCCUUUGACCCAGUAAAUGCAGUAGAAUUGAUGUCCUGGGACUUUUAGGCUUGGUCUUGAGACUGGGAGCUUCUACCUUUCUCUUGGGCUAGACUAUCAAAUGGCCAUGUGGAGAGAAGCCCAGGAGGGUGACAAGCCCUCAUGGAUGUUCCAGCCCCAGCAAAACUCUCAGCUGACUCUAGCCGUAUAAGUCACUCCAAAUCAGUAUCAUGAGCAGCAAAGAACUUCCUGGCUGAGCUCUGCCAGAAUUCCUGACCCAGUGCACCUUGGGAAAUUAUUGUUGUCUUGAGCUACUGCAUUUCUGUGUGGAUUGCUAUAUAGCAAGAGAUGCCUGAACCUUGUAGCCACUAUCAAAACAUCAAGCAGAAAGAGAUUAGGAACACAGGCAAUGAGCUUGUUUUUAACUCUUGCCCAGUCACAGUGUCUUUGCAAGCACCAUGCGGGCUGCCCAGGCAGCCAGAUGGAACAGGAACAAGGGCUGUCCAUCCCUGCCAGACUGUUGCCAUGACCCUAAAAAAUAAGGUGACGUUGGGGAUCAUUUCCAUAGUGAUGUUUUGGCACAGAACUGAGCUGGCAGACUGAAUUCCAGGUGUGGACCGUGUCAGCUCCACAAAAUGACAAGCAGGUAUGCACUUCAGUUUUUUGUUUGAGGUCAGGAUGCCAACUCAGGAUGCAGCCUGAGAAGCCACCAGGCAUUAAAAAAUAUAGUUUCUGUCAAGUGCCAAAGAACAAGUAGUAGAAAAAUAAGUCAAUGUAGUUAAGAGACUGGCAUCAGGGAAGAAACCACAAGUGGUUCUAACUGCAUUCUGCCAUGGUACUAUCUUCAUUGAGUGAUUCCUAUAAUUGUCCUGAAGGAACCAUCUAAGGUUUGGCCCUUUUUAUGUAAGGUAUGCGUUUUCCCCAGAGUGGUUCCACCUUCUCAAUUUAUGGAGCCACAACUAUGUCAGGUAUGGUUUAAAACAACUUUCAGUUUUAGAAUAAUAUUUGCAAUGUAGAAACUUUAAAAAAAAUGUGAUUGCCUUCUUUGAAGGCUUGACAAGCAGGCGAAUGGCAGGAAAUUGGGUUCUGCCUAAAAGCCCAUCUCUCCCUUACUACCUCCUCAUUCAGUGAACAGUUGCUUGAAAUCCAGUUACCAUUUUUUCUAGAUUGACCUUUUUGACGUGUGCACAUCACCCUUCCUGAUAGCUCAGCUCCCCCAUUUGUAAACCUGGAGUCCAAAUCCUUUCAUCCUAAUGCUAGAAUGUAAAUUAAAUAAUUAGUGAUUUGUUAAACACUUUGAAAAUGAAAAUGCCAAGUAUUGUUAUUAUUUCAAGGGUAAUUUACUUCUGAUUCGUUUGUAAUUAUUUCAUCAAAACAUUGUUUAGUAAGAGCUGUUUGAUGUGUAAAAUGCCUUAUGGGUUUUCCCUAUAAGACUUCUGUUAUCAAAAUUAGAUGGAGUCCUUGCCAACUGGAACCCAUGUGCACACCAAAGUUUUGCAGUGGUUUAAGUCUCAAGUCACCCCCUUGUGGGCCAGGGCCUGUUGGAAAGGGACCAAACCCCAGAGCAAUGAUUCGUCUCUGAAUUUGUCUAUAAUAGUUCCUUACCAGAAAAUCCAAUAGGGACCAAAGCCAGGCCCAGGUAGCAACUAGGAAUUUGAUUAGAUUUGGUUUUGGCCCUUAUCCCUGAUCUUUGCACCUUUCUGGAACUUCUGCUUCCUUUGUUUCAGAUGCCAACUCAAUCUUUCUGAAUUUACAUAUAGAUUUAGGUCUUAUUGGAAGGUUGAUCUGAUACACUGAGUCCCUUAAUACAAUUAAUCAUGAUAACCCCUGAAUGGUGUAUUUUUCAAAGUUUGAAAAGUACUCCUUAUAUCAGAGGGACUGGAAUAGUUAAUCCCAGAUAGGCAUGAGUCAUAACUUGAAACUGCCAAAGAUAAGGAAGAAAUACCCUUGAAGUCCAGCCUUCUAUUUAAAAAAAAAAAAAAAAAGAAAGUUGAUUUUUCUCUUUACUGUGUUCUUAUAUAUUUCAGUAUAAAAUUAAUGUUGAAAAUUAUUUAUUGUUUAGAUUGUAAAUUUCUUCCCAUAUCCACUCUCAAUGACUGGUUUUGCAAUAUCCAUACUGUUAGGCUACUGUCUUUAUAAAUCUUCAAACACAUGUUUCAGCAGUAUCAAUACCCCAGAUCUAAAACCUAAAUUGGUGUCUUUCCUUAACUCCCCUAUUUGUUUUUGCUUCUGGAUUCCUCAUCUUGGUUCAUGAUUGUUGCUCCAAACAAACCACAAACUAACUGGGAAUCAUCCCAAACUCUGCCCUUACCCUGAAUGCCAAGUUUAGUCACUCAGUGAUCCAUGGAUUUUUACCUUAUUUAAAAC
rnacentral:lncRNA from 1 species